rnacentral:rRNA from 1 species
UACGAAGGGUGCAAGCGUUGCUCGGAAUUAUUGGGCGUAAAGGGUAGGUAGGUGGUCUCGUUUGUCCGGGGUGAAAGCCUUGAGCUUAACUCAAGAAGUGCCUCGGAAACGGCGAGACUAGAGUAUUGGAGAGGGUCGUGGAAUUCCCGGUGUAGCGGUGAAAUGCGUAGAGAUCGGGAGGAACACCAGAGGCGAAGGCGGCGACCUGGACAAUUACUGACACUCAACUACGAAAGCGUGGGGAGCAAAC